UAGGGAAUAUUGCGCAAUGGAGGAAACUCUGACGCAGCGACGCCGCGUGGGUGAUGAAGGCUUUCGGGUCGUAAAGCCCUGUCGGAAGGGAAGAAAAACGUUGUGGCUAACAUCCACGACGCUUGACGGUACCUUUAAAGGAAGCACCGGCUAACUACGUGCCAGCAGCCGCGGUAAUACGUAGGGUGCUAGCGUUGUUCGGAAUCAUUGGGCGUAAAGCGCGUGUAGGCGGUUAGAUAAGUCUUGUGUGAAAUCCCUGGGCUCAACCGAGGAAGUGCAUGGGAAACUAUCUAGCUGGAAGACGGUAGAGGAAGGUGGAAUUCCAAGUGUAGAGGUGAAAUUCGUAGAUAUUUGGAGGAAUACCGGUGGCGAAGGCGGCCUUCUGGACCGUUCUUGACGCUGAGACGCGAAAGCGUGGGGAGCAAACAGG
rnacentral:rRNA from 1 species